AGAUGUGAGGGCAGUCUGGCCAUGACAUCUGUCACCCUAUUGAUUGCCAGGGUUGAUUCAGCUGAUCUGGCUAAUGGGUCGAUGUCCCCUUCCUCCCUCAUGACUGCAGGCUGUCCCUCCUAAAGCUGUGCAUUCAGUUGAAGGGGCUGACCUUCCCUGAUAGAGAAGAACCAUUUUUCCAUUCCAUCAAGAGUAUAGGAACAGCCGGGUGCCAGUGGCUUAUGCCU
rnacentral:snRNA from 1 species